rnacentral:rRNA from 1 species
UGAAUACGAGACGCUAAGGCGUCGAAGUAGUGUAUGUCAUACUUCCAAGAAAAGCUUGCACUGUCAUAGAUAAAAAACGCCUGUACCAUAACCGACACAGGUGGGUAGGUAGAGUAUACUAAGGGGCGCGAGAUAACUCUCUCUAAGGAACUCGGCAAAAUAACUCCGUAACUUCGGGAGAAGGAGUGCCUUAUUCUUAAGGUUGCAAUAACAAGAUCCAAGCAACUGUUUAUCAAAAACACAGGUCUCCGCUAAGUCGUAAGACGAUGUAUGGGGGCUGACGCCUGCCCAGUGCCAGAAGGUUAAAGAGGCUGGUUAGCAUUUGCGAAGCUAGUAACUGAAGCCCUGGUGAACGGCGGCCGUAACAAUAACGGUCCUAAGGUAGCGAAAUUCCUUGUCGGGUAAGUUCCGACCCGCACGAAAGGCGUAAUGAUUUGGAUACUGUCUCGGAGAGGGGCUCGGUGAAAUAGACUUGUCUGUGAAGAUGCGGACUACCUGCACCAGGACAGAAAGACCCUAUGAAGCUUUACUGUAACUUGAAAUUGAAAUUGGACUUUAUUCGCGCAGUAUAGGUGGGAGGCGUUGAUCAUAAUCUUGCGGGAUUAUUGGAGCCAUUAGUGAGAUACCACUCUUGUAAUGUUAGAUUUCUAACUUUGAAUCAUUAUCUGGUCAAAGAACAGUUUCAGGCGGGCAGUUUGACUGGGGCGGUCGCCUCCUAAACGGUAACGGAGGCGUACAAAGGUUUCCUCUGAACGGUUAGAAAUCGUAUCUAGAGUGUAAAGGUAUAAGGAAGCUUGUCUGUGAGACCUACAAGUCGAGCAGGGACGAAAGUCGGUCUUAGUGAUCUGACGGUACUGAGUGGAAAGGCCGUCACUCAACGGAUAAAAGUUACUCUAGGAUAACAGGCUGAUCUCCCCCAAGAGUUCACAUCGACGGGGAGGUUUGGCACCUCGAUGUCGGCUCAUCGCAUCCUGGGGCGGUAGUACGUCCCAAGGGUUGGGCUGUUCGCCCACGAAAGCGGUACGCGAGCUGGGUUCAGAACGUCGUGAGACAGUUCGGUCCAUAUCCGGUGUAGGCGUUAGAAUAUUGAGAGGAGCCUUCUUUAGUACGAGAGGACCGAGAAGGACAUACCUCUGGUGUACCAGUUAUCGUGCCAACGGUAAACGCUGGGUAGCUAUGUAUGGAGUGGAUAACCGCUGAAAGCAUCUAAGUGGGAAGCCCACCUCAAGAUAAGUAUUCC